UACACUCCUACGGGAGGCAGCAGUGGGGAAUUUUGGACAAUGGGCGAAAGCCUGAUCCAGCAAUGCCGCGUGAGUGAAGAAGGCCUUCGGGUUGUAAAGCUCUUUUGUCAGGGAAGAAACGGUGAAAGCUAAUAUCUUUUGCUAAUGACGGUACCUGAAGAAUAAGCACCGGCUAACUACGUGCCAGCAGCCGCGGUAAUACGUAGGGUGCAAGCGUUAAUCGGAAUUACUGGGCGUAAAGCGUGCGCAGGCGGUUUUGUAAGUCUGAUGUGAAAUCCCCGGGCUCAACCUGGGAAUUGCAUUGGAGACUGCAAGGCUAGAAUCUGGCAGAGAGGGGUAGAAUUCCACGUGUAGCAGUGAAAUGCGUAGAUAUGUGGAGGAACACCGAUGGCGAAGGCAGCCCCCUGGGUCAAGAUUGACGCUCAUGCACGAAAGCGUGGGGAGCAAACAGGAUUAGAAACCCGUGUAGUCCCAUG
rnacentral:rRNA from 1 species